rnacentral:rRNA from 1 species
AGUGAACGCUGGCGGUAGGCCUAACACAUGCAAGUCGAACGGCAGCACAGUAAGAGCUUGCUCUUACGGGUGGCGAGUGGCGGACGGGUGAGGAAUACAUCGGAAUCUACUUUUUCGUGGGGGAUAACAUAGGGAAACUUACGCUAAUACCGCAUACGACCUACGGGUGAAAGCAGGGGAUCUUCGGACCUUGCGCGAUUGAAUGAGCCGAUGUCGGAUUAGCUAGUUGGCGGGGUAAAGGCCCACCAAGGCGACGAUCCGUAGCUGGUCUGAGAGGAUGAUCAGCCACACUGGAACCGAGACACGGUCCAGACUCCUACGGGAGGCAGCAGUGGGGAAUAUUGGACAAUGGGCGCAAGCCUGAUCCAGCCAUACCGCGUGGGUGAAGAAGGCCUUCGGGUUGUAAAGCCCUUUUGUUGGGAAAGAAAAGCAGCAGGUUAAUACCCCGCUGUUCUGACGGUACCCAAAGAAUAAGCACCGGCUAACUUCGUG